CCUACGGGAGACUGCAGUGAGGAAUAUUGGUCAAUGGGCGCGAGCCUGAACCAGCCAAGUAGCGUGAAGGAUGACGGCCCUACGGGUUGUAAACUUCUUUUAUAAAGGAAUAAAGGGAGGCACGUGUGCCGUUUUGUGAGUACUUGAUGAAUAAGGAUCGGCUAACUCCGUGCCAGCAGCCGCGGUAAUACGGAGGAUGCGAGCGUUAUCCGGAUUUAUUGGGUUUAAAGGGCGCGUAGAUGGGUUGUUAAGUCAGGGGGGAAAGUUUGCGGCUCCACCGUCAACUUGCCUUUGAUACUGGCAUUCUUGAGUACACUUGAGGUAUGCGGAAUUCGUGGUGUAGCGG
rnacentral:rRNA from 1 species